rnacentral:rRNA from 1 species
UACGUAGGAUGCAAGCGUUGUUCGGAAUUACUGGGCGUAAAGAGUACGUAGGCGGUUUGAUAAGUCUGAAAUUAAAGACUGAGGCUUAACCUCAGGAAUGUAUCGGAAACUGUCAGACUAGAGGACAAUAGAGGAAGUCGGAAUUCUCAGUGUAGCGGUGAAAUGCGUAGAUAUUGGGAAGAACACCAGUGGCGAAGGCGGCUCACUGGUCCGGUACUGACGCUGAGGUGCGAAAGCCAGGGGAGCAAACGGG